UACGAAGGGGGCUAGCGUUGCUCGGAAUCACUGGGCGUAAAGCGCACGUAGGCGGCUUUCUAAGUCAGGGGUGAAAUCCCGGAGCUCAACUCCGGAACUGCCUUUGAUACUGGAAAGCUUGAGUUCGGGAGGAGGUGAGUGGAACUGCGAGUGUAGAGGUGAAAUUCGUAGAAUAUUCGCAGAACACCAGUGGCGAAAGGCGGCUCACUGGCCCGAUACUGGACGCUGAGGUGCGAAAGCGUGGGGAGCAAACAGG
rnacentral:rRNA from 1 species